GAGCUAAUACCGGAUAAUAUUUUGAACCGCAUGGUUCAAAAGUGAAAGACGGUCUUGCUGUCACUUAUAGAUGGAUCCGCGCUGCAUUAGCUAGUUGGUAAGGUAACGGCUUACCAAGGCAACGAUGCAUAGCCGACCUGAGAGGGUGAUCGGCCACACUGGAACUGAGACACGGUCCAG
rnacentral:rRNA from 1 species